AGCGUAGGUAAUACCGUGACCUCAAUGGGUAUUCGCUUUUAUUGGGCCUUAAACGUCAGUAGCCGGUCUGAUACAUUCGUGGGUAAAUCAACUAGCUCAACUAGUUGAAUUCUGCGAGGACGGUCAGACUUGGGACCGGGAGAGGUGUGGGGUACGCUCAGGGUAGGGGUAAAAUCCUGUCAUCCUGAGCGGACCACCUGUUGCGAAGGCGCCACACUAGAACGGAUCCGACGGUCAGGGACGAAGCCUAGGGGCACGAACCGGAUUAGAUACCCGGGUAGUCCUAGGUGUAAACGCUGUGGACUUGGUGUUGGGGAUUCUACGAGUAUCCCCAGUGCCGAAGUGAAGAUGUUAAGUCCACUGCCUGGGGAGUACGGUCGCAAGGCUGAAACUUAAAGGAAUUGGCGGGGGAGCACUGCAACGAGAGGAGCGUGCGGUUUAAUUGGAUUCAACGCCGGAAAACUCACCAAAGCCGACUGUUAGAUGAAGACCAGCGUAAUGAGCUUGUCGGAUUUUCAGAGAGGUAGUGCAUGGCCGUCGUCAGUUCGUACCGUAAGGCGUUCUGUUAAGUCAGAUAACGAACGAGACCCUCAUCCCUAUUUGCUCGGAUCUCUCCGGAGAUCACAGGACUAUAGGGAGACCGCUGGCGCGAAGUCAGAGGAAGGCGAGGGCAACGGUAGGUCAGUAUGCUCCGAAUGCUUUGGGCUACACGCGCGCUACAAAGGCCAGGACAAUGGGUCUGCCACUUCGAAAGAAGGCGCUAUCCCGAAACCUGGUCGUAGUUCGGAUCGAGGGCUGUAACUCGCCCUCGUGAAGCUGGAUUUCGUAGUAAUCGCGUCUCAAAAUGGCGCGGUGAAUAUGCC
rnacentral:rRNA from 1 species